AACUAUGCCACUUUGUUUACAUACUCAUCUCAUAUGUAUAUACUGCACUCAAUACCAUCUACUGUAUCUUGCCUAUGCCGCUCUGUACCAUCACUCAUUCAUAUAUCUUUAUGUACUCAUUCUUUAUCCCCUUACACUUGUGUCUAUAAGGUAGUAGUUUUGGAAUUGUUAGCUAGAUUACUUGUUGGUUAUUACUGCAUUGUCGGAACUAGAAGCACAAGCAUUUUGCUACACUCGCAUUAACAUCUGCUAACCAUGUGUAUGUGACAAAUAACAUUUGAUUGGAUUUGAUUUGAUUUGAUAACAUUAUCAGUACACUCUUAGAAAAAAGGGUUCCAAAAGGGUACUUUGGCUGUCCCCAUAGGAUAACCCUUUUUGGCUCCAGGGAGAACCCUUUUUUAGUUCCACGCAGAACCCUUUUGGGUUCCAUGUAGAAACCUCUGGGGAAAGGGUCCUACAUGGAACCCAGAAGGGUUCGACCUGGUACCAAAAAUGGUUCUUCAAAGGGUUUUCCAAUGGGGACAGCCGAAAACUCCUUUUAGGUUCUAGAUAGCACCUUUUAUUUUGAGAGUGUAGUAGUCAUUACCUUCUGUGUGUUUAUCAAAAGUUCCAUCUGUGAACAGUAAUAAAGCCUGUAAAGUGGCAGUAUUGUGUCCUUAAGGCCUCUUUGAACGCUUAAUGAUUAUCCUCGUUAAGUGAUGUGGUGUUUUCUCACUGUCUGACUAGUGUACUUUGAGCCUUUUACCUACCGUGAGGUGACGAAGCAGUGUUGGCUGGCUUACACAAGAGGCCACAGUCUUUUCUCACACAUCUUCCUCUGGACUCUUCUCUAUCGACUGCUGCCAGUAAAUGUGUCAACACCUUUACUCACUGUCUGCUUGGUCACGACCAUAGUGCCUACUGAGUCACUCUCUUCCCUGCAGUGCAAAUUUUGGAGUGCAUCCGUUUAAAGCAUCCCUUCAUGAGAUAAACAGGCCUAAUCUGACUCUGGGCCAGUUGUUAGUGGUAUAACGAGAGAUCCUUAAGACUGUCCUUAAAAAACUCCUUGUUUGGCCACCAAGAAAUGGAACAUUCUGCUCUGAUGUAGUUUUAGAAAGAAAGCCAUGUUUGUAAAUGGUAAUAAAAUAGAAUAUAAUUGUUUAUCACUUUUUAAUGAGACAGUGAUAACUAGCUUGGCUUAGAGAUGAACACAAGUAUGAAUAUUUUUUUAAAUAGUUACUUAACGGCACACAUAUUGCAUUCACUGGGUUCACUGUCUACAGUGGCUUGCGAAAGUGUUCACCCCCUUGGCAAUUUUUCCUAUUUUGUUGCCUUACAACCUGGAAUUAAAAUAGAUUUUGGGGGGGAUUUGUAUCAUUUGAUUUACACAACAUGCCUACCUUUUUGAAGAUGCAAAAUAUUUUUUGAUUGUGAAACAAACAAGAAAUAAUAAGAAAACUGUCUUGGUCUGUGAGUUUUGGUGGGCGGCCCUCUCUUGGCACGUUUGUUGUGGUGCCAUAUUCUUUCCAUUUUUUAAUAAUGGAUUUGAUGGUGCUCCGUGGGAUGUUCAACGUUUCUGAUAUUUAUUUAUAAUUCAAUCCUGAUCUGUACUUCUCCACAACUUUGUCCCUGACCUGUUUGGAGAGCUCCUUGGUCUUCAUGGUGCCCCUUGCUUAGUGGGGCCUUUCAGAACAUGUGUGUAUAUAUACUGAGGUCAUGUGACACUUAGAUUGCACACAGGUGGAUCUUAACUAAUUAUGUGACUUCUGAAGGUAAUUUGUUCCACCAGAUCUUAUUUAGGGUCUUCAUAGCAAAGGUGAAUACAUAUUAUUUAGGGUCUUCAUAGCAAAGGUGAAUACAUAUUAUUUAGGGUCUUCAUAGCAAAGGUGAAUACAUAUUAUUUAGGGUCUUCAUAGCAAAGGUGAAUACAUAUUAUUUAGGGUCUUCAUAGCAAAGGUGAAUACAUAUUAUUUAGGGUCUUCAUAGCAAAGGUGAAUACAUAUUAUUUAGGGUCUUCAUAGCAAAGGUGAAUACAUAUUAUUUAGGGUCUUCAUAGCAAAGGUGAAUACAUAUUAUUUAGGGUCUUCAUAGCAAAGGUGAAUACAUAUUAUUUAGGGUCUUCAUAGCAAAGGUGAAUACAUAUUAUUUAGGGUCUUCAUAGCAAAGGUGAAUACAUAUUAUUUAGGGUCUUCAUAGCAAAGGUGAAUACAUAUUAUUUAGGGUCUUCAUAGCAAAGGUGAAUACAUAUGCAUGCACCACUUUUCAGUUUUGAAUUUCUUUUAACAAGUUAUUUUUUUCAUUUCAUUUUCACUACUUUGUGUAUGUCCAUUACAUGAAAUCCAAAUAAAAAUCAAUUUAAAUGACAGGUUGUAAUGCAACAAAAUAGGAAAAAUACCAAGGGGGAUGAAUACUUUUGCAAGGCACUGUAUAAUACUCUCAUCAGCUCUAAUAGCAAACUGUCUGAAUGUGAUGAUAAUCUGCACGACUGGGCCUCAGUUAGUCCUAAUGGAACUUGAUUGGUUCCUCCUCAUCCAAACAGCAGCUGAUAUGUCUUCCCUUUGACUUAAUGGGAGUCUGGCUCUUCCUUGACUCAUGAAUGUAGAAUCCAUCUGGACCUAUGUGCUCUUGUGGCGAUGCGUGAGAACACAUCAGUUUAAAAAAAACAAGGCCCCUGAAAACAUAGCUGUAGUGGUGCAUCAAUGGAAAAACACGCAUCUUUCCCCAAACCUCACCAUUUCCAUAUACACACACACUGAUUGUCUAUCAAGAAGAUGAAUCUCCCCGCUGAGCACAUGCGCGCACACACACACACACACACACACACACACACACACACACACACACACACACACACACACACACACACACACACACACACACACACACACACACACACACACACACACAGUUGGAUGCGUGUGGUAUCCUAAAGUGGAUGUGUAACCAGGCCAGCGCAGCACAGUACAGCUCAGCUCAGUUCAGCUUUACAGCUCAGGAGAGUGAAAAUCAUAUUAAAGAUCUGGAAGGACUGAAUAGGUGUAAGCAACAUGGGGAAAUUCCAUCCAGCCCACCUGAGGGCUAGGUCAAGCUAUAAUCAGAGGGGCAAGCUAUUAUUGCUGACUCCUAUCCAAGUCUUCCUGAUCUAUAAAAAGUACCAUGGGGCAGAGGUAGGAAUUAGGGGUCGGUUUGGAUUUGGUCAUCAGAGUCCUUGAGCGUUCCAGUAAGAACACUGUAUACACUGUGUUAUUAAAGCUGAGAAGGCAGAGGUGGCACUGUGGUGCAGGUCUCUCCAUUAAACAGAGAAAGGUUAGUUUGUUGUAUUGGAUGGAGGGUGGGAAGCGUUCUCCAGAGAAGGACUAGCUGUGCCACGUCAGUAUAAGACAGACUCUUUGUAAAUAGGACUAUAACAGCUACAAUGUGAUACACUGCAGGUGACGUGUGUGUGUGUGUGUGUGCGUGUGUGUGUGUGUGUGUGUGUGUGUGUGUGUGUGUGUGUGUGUGUGUGUGUGUGUGUGUGUGUGUGUGUGUGUGUGUGUGUGUGUGUGUGUGUGUGUGUGUGUGUGUUUAUGUGACUUCACUUCUCAUAUGAUUGGAUGCAGAAUUGUAGUUGUUUUGAGGAAACCUCCGUAUUCCACUAGAUGUUAACAUUCCUCUGGCCGAUAUACCACACAAUUCCAUUCAUCUAAAAUGUCAGUACAGCUGCAAGCUUGUCCUGAUAAUUAUAGUGGGCACACUCACUGGCCUCAGCCCCCUUUGCAAUGAAAGCACUGAUGAAUGCCACCAUGUUUGUGAAGGCCUUUACAACACAUACAAUACGGCGUCUAAUUCCUCCAGUCGAAACCGAGGGGCGUCAGAAGGACUGAACUUCACAAUUUGACCCUCUGAGGAAAUUGAUCUAGUGGAUUAGAAUUGUGAAAGACCCUGCUUACACACAAAACAGCCUUUUGGAGAACCACGACUCAAGUAGAGCGUUGAGAGAACUUCCAGCUCGAGAGGAGAGCAGACAGAGAGAGGG